rnacentral:rRNA from 1 species
GUGGGGAAUAUUGGGCAAUGGGCGAAAGCCUGACCCAGCAACGCCGCGUGAAGGAAGAAGGUCUUCGGAUCGUAAACUUCUAUCCUUGGUGAAGAUAAUGACGGUAGCCGAGAAGGAAGCCCCGGCUAACUACGUGCCAGCAGCCGCGGUAAUACGUAGGGGGCAAGCGUUGUCCGGAAUGAUUGGGCGUAAAGGGCGCGUAGGCGGCCUGGUAAGUCUGGAGUGAAAGUCCUGCUUUUAAGGUGGGAAUUGCUUUGGAUACUGUCGGGCUUGAGUGCAGGAGAGGUAAGUGGAAGUCCCGGUGUAGCGGUGAAAUGCGUAGAGAUCGGGAGGAACACCAGUGGCGAAGGCGACUUACUGGACUGUAACUGACGCUGAGGCGCGAAAGUGUGGGGAGCAAACAGGAUUAGAUACCCUGGUAGUCC